AAAUGAAUUGACGGGGACCCGCACAAGCGGUGGAUGAUGUGGAUUAAUUCGAUGCAACGCGAAAAACCUUACCUACGCUUGACAUGUCUGGAAUCCCUCAGAGAUGGGGGAGUGCUCGAAAGAGAGCCAGAACACAGGUGCUGCAUGGCUGUCGUCAGCUCGUGUCGUGAGAUGUUGGGUUAAGUCCCGCAACGAGCGCAACCCUUAUCAUUAGUUGCUACGAAAGGGCACUCUAAUGAGACUGCCGGUGACAAACCGGAGGAAGGUGGGGAUGACGUCAAGUCCUCAUGGCCCUUAUGCGUAGGGCUUCACACGUCAUACAAUGGUCGGUACAGAGGGUUGCCAACCCGCGAGGGGGAGCCAAUCCCACAAAACCGAUCGUAGUCCGGAUUGCAGUCUGCAACUCGACUGCAUGAAGUCGGAAUCGCUAGUAAUCGCGGAUCAGCAUGUCGCGGUGAAUACGUUCCCGGGUCUUGUACACACCGCCCGU
rnacentral:rRNA from 1 species